UACUUCUAAGCUUCUUAACCUUCAGUUGUUUUUGAGGAAUGGCAUCCUUGAAGACUGCAAAACCUUUCGGCCUCACGACACAGCCCAAGAUAGGGGAGAGCGCAUCCAAGGCGCAGGCCUGCAAAAAAGGCGAGCAGAAGCCCCGCCAACCCAAGAAGAAGGGUAAGAGUAGCAAACCAGCAGCUAAGAAUUAGAGGCAGCAACUAGAAAGUUGGGAGAUCCCACAUGGACUCGAGUUAUAUCGAGAAUUGUGUUUCUUUUCUUUGUUUUUUUUUUUUUAUGUGCUUCCUUUGUCUCUUUUUUUGGUUUUCUUGCUCUGACGGUGAUGUUUAUGUCGUGAACUCUAUUGGAUGUAUGUUGGAUGUUCGGCUUGGCCUAGUGAGAUGAAGGCAAGGAUAGGUACCACUAUUGCAUAAAUAGUGGUAAUUGUAUAAUAAUGCUAUGAUCAUAUAAACAGGUAAUUUAUUAUGUG